rnacentral:rRNA from 1 species
UACAGAGGGGGCAAGCGUUGUUCGGAAUUACUGGGCGUAAAGGGCGCGUAGGCGGCCUUCUAAGUCGAACGUGAAAUCCCCGGGCUUAACCUGGGAAUGGCGAUGGAGACUGCGAAGCUAGAGUUUGGCAGAGGGGGGUAGAAUUCCACGUGUAGCAGUGAAAUGCGUAGAGAUGUGGAGGAACACCGAUGGCGAAGGCGGCGACCUGGUCCGAUACUGACGCUGAGGCGCGAAAGCGUGGGGAGCAAACAGG